UGAGACGCACCAUAUCCAUAAGCUUGAUGCCCCCAGUGGCACGGCGAUCACGCUGGCUGAGACUAUCCUCGCUGGACGUCCCGAGCUCCAUGGAUGGGAGCUGACGGAUAAGCCUGAGCCAGGUGUCCUGCCUAUCAUUGCGCAUCGUGAGGGCGAAGUCCCAGGGAUACAUACUGUGACUUAUACCUCAGAGGUCGAUCGUAUCGUCCUGACUCAUGAGGCAUUUGGUCGUCAGGGCUUUGCUCUUGGGGCGGUAUUGGCAGCUGAAUACGCCUACACGCACCGCGGUUGGCUGACGAUGGAUGACCUCCUUCAGCUUCGCUAAGUAGUCACUACUCUCCCGAUGCAUAUACACCAUAAUUAUAUAUAGAGCACCGAAUGAAAUCGCAUCCGAUAGCAGGCCUUACUCCGGGACAGCGCACAUGGCGCCAUAUCAAGGGCGGGAUUCUGAUUCUUCUUCUUAUAGCCUUUGCUUGCUGGGCAAGCUGGUGGUGGCUGAUUCUCCUGCCCCUCCUCAUCGACUUCUACUUUACGCGAUGGAUCAACUGGCGUUAUCUGCGAGAGCACCCCAACCCCACCGUGCGCCUCCUUGGCGGUCUGGUCGAGGAUAUCAUCUUCGUGGUCUUCACCGUGUCGAUUAUCUUCACCUACUUCUUCCAGAACUUUGCCAUCCCCUCCUCCUCGCUGGAGAAGACGCUUCUCAUCGGUGAUUAUCUCUUCGUAAAUAAGCUGAGCUAUGGCCCUCGUGUGCCGAUGACCCCCGUGGCCUUCCCCUUAGCACACAAUACCAUUCUCGGGCAUAAGUCCUAUCUCGAUGAGCCUUCGCUCCCUUAUCGUCGCCUCAAGGGCUUUGGGAAGGUCGAGCGUAAUGAUCUCGUCGUCUUCAACUUCCCCGCAGGGGAUACGGUGGCACUCAAUAUGCCUAACCCUGAUUACUACACGCUGUGUGCUACUUAUGGUCGCGAUGCCGUGUGGAGUGAUCGAGCUCAGUUGGUCGAGAGGGAAACAGCCCAGAUCGUCGGUUAAGGCCCCUAAGGGUGUGCUCAGUGGGAAAGGAUGUGGGAUCGCGAAGACAGCCAGGAGGUUGGCUUAGAAGCAGCCAUCCUUGAAAGAGUGCGUAAUAGCUCACUGGUCGAGUGGUUCUGCGCCGAUAAUGUAGCGGGGCUUAAGCACACCGCCGAAACCGCGGCAACACACUUGGUGUGUUGGGUAGGGGAGCGUCGUGCAUGUGUUGAAGCUACUUGGUGACAGGUGGUGGAGUGUGUGCGAGUGAGAAUGCAGGCAUGAGUAACGAUUGAUGUGUGAGAAACAUAUCCGCCGGAUGACUAAGGGUUCCUGGGUGAAGUUUGUCUUCCCAGGGUGAGUCGGGGCCUAAGGCGAGGCCGACAGGCGUAGUCGAUGGAGAACGGGUUGAUAUUCCCGUACCCGUGUGCGUGCGACAAGUGAUGAAUCUUAUGGUACUAACCGCCCGCCUACGUGCACUGGUCUUUUUGGUUGGUGUGUGUGGGUGCGUGGGAUCUUCGUGGGUAGUAGUCAAGUGAUGGGGUGACGCAGAGUGGUAGCUAGGCUUCCUUAUUGGAUUGGAGUGCAAGCGUGUGGCCUGUGGGGUUGGGAAAUCCGCCCCGCGUAUCAGGUGAGGCGUGAUGCGGACACCAUGUUGUGGUGGUAGUUAGUGUGCCUGUGCUGCCUAGAAAAGCCUCUAGCGAGUGCGUGCAUGGCCCGUACCGGAAACCGACACAGGUGGUCAGGUAGAGAAUACUAAGGCGUUCGGGUGAACUGUGGUUAAGGAACUCGGCAAAAUGCCCCCGUAACUUCGGGAGAAGGGGGACCAUUACUGGUUGCUGACAGCAUUAUAGCUGGUGGUGGUCGCAGAGGAGAGAGGGAAGCGACUGUUUAUUAAAAACACAGGUCCGUGCGAAAACGUGGAAGUUGAGGUAUACGGACUGACGCCUGCCCGGUGCUGGAAGGUUAAGAGGACCCGUUAGUGCGCCUAGUGUGUGCGAGGCGGAGAAUUGAAGCCCCAGUAAACGGCGGUGGUAACUAUAACCAUCCUAAGGUAGCGAAAUUCCUUGUCGGGUAAGUUCCGACCUGCACGAAUGGCGUAACGACUUCCCUGCUGUCUCAACCACAGGCCCGGUGAAAUUGCAGUACGAGUAAAGAUGCUCGUUUCGCGCGGCAGGACGAAAAGACCCCGGGACCUUUACUAUAGCUUGGUAUUGGUGUUUGGUCAUGCUUGUGUAGGAUAGGUGGGAGACUGUGAAGCCGCAACGCUAGUUGUGGUGGAGUCGCAGGUGAAAUACCACUCUGGUGUGAUUGGGUACCUGAACCUUGGCCCGUGAUCCGGGUUGGGGACAGUGCCUGGUGGGUAGUUUAACUGGGGCGGUUGCCUCCUAAAUGGUAACGGAGGCGCCCAAAGGUUUCCUCAGUCUGGUUGGCAAUCAGAUGGUGAGUGUAAGUGUAUAAGGGAGCUUGACUGUGACACUGACGGGUGGAGCAGGUGCGAAAGCAGGGACUAGUGAUCCGGCAUCUACGUGUGGUUGUGGUGUCGCUCAACGGAUAAAAGGUACCCCGGGGAUAACAGGCUGAUCUUCCCCAAGAGUUCAUAUCGACGGGAUGGUUUGGCACCUCGAUGUCGGCUCGUCGCAUCCUGGGGCUG
rnacentral:rRNA from 1 species